UGGGGAAUUUGGGACAAGGGGGGAAACCCUGAUCCAGCCAUCCCGCGUGUGCGAUGAAGGCCUUCGGGUUGUAAAGCACUUUUGGCAGGAAAGAAACGUCAUGGGUUAAUACCCCGUGAAACUGACGGUACCUGCAGAAUAAGCACCGGCUAACUACGUGCCAGCAGCCGCGGUAAUACGUAGGGUGCAAGCGUUAAUCGGAAUUACUGGGCGUAAAGCGUGCGCAGGCGGUUCGGAAAGAAAGAUGUGAAAUCCCAGAGCUCAACUUUGGAACUGCAUUUUUCACUACCGGGCUAGAGUGUGUCAGAGGGAGGUGGAAUUCCGCGUGUAGCAGUGAAAUGCGUAGAUAUGCGGAGGAACACCGAUGGCGAAGGCAGCCUCCUGGGAUAACACUGACGCUCAUGCACGAAAGCGUGGGGAGCAAACAGG
rnacentral:rRNA from 1 species